UACGGAGGGUGCAAGCGUUAAUCGGAAUUACUGGGCGUAAAGCGUGCGCAGGCGGUUUGUUAAGUCUGCUGUGAAAUCCCCGAGCUCAACUUGGGAAUUGCAGUGGAUACUGGCAAGCUGGAGUACGGUAGAGGAAGGUGGAAUUCCCGGUGUAGCAGUGAAAUGCGUAGAGAUCGGGAGGAACACCAGUGGCGAAGGCGGGUCUCUGGGCCGUAACUGACGCUGAGGAGCGAAAGCGUGGGGAGCAAACAGG
rnacentral:rRNA from 1 species